rnacentral:rRNA from 1 species
AUGUCACGUCGAGGUACUGCAGAAAAAAGAACUGCAAAAUCCGAUCCAAUUUUUCGUAAUUGAUUAGUCAACAUGGUGGUUAACCGUAUUAUGAAAGACAGAAAAUCAUUGGCUUAUCAAAUUCUCUAUCGAGCCGUGAAAAAGAUUCAACAAAAGCCAGAAACAAAUCCACUAUUGGUUUUACAUCAAGCAAUACGUAGAGUAACUCCCAUAGGAGUAAAAACAAGACGUAAUAAAAAAGGAUCGACCUGGAAAGUUCCGAUUGAAAUAGGAUCUAAACAAGGAAGAGCACUUGCCAUUCGUUGGUUAUUAGAAGCAUCCCAAAAGCGUCCGGGUCGAAAUAUGGCUUCCAAAUUAAGUUCUGAAUUAGUAGAUGCUGCCAAAGGGAGUGGGGGUGCCAUACACAAAAAGGAAGCGACUCAUAGAAUGGCAGAGGCAAAUAGAGCUCUUGCACAUUUUCGUUAA